UGUCAGUGCUUUGAAUUUUGAGUCUAAAAUGAUCUGAGAAAAGGGAAUGUAGAAAGAUGUUGAUUCUGUUUGGUACCAUUAUAUGGUUCAUUUGAAGAACAUAACAAGGGAUUAUUAGAAAGAGUGAUUAGUUAACUCUGUGUGUAUGUUGUCUAAAUUAUAAGGACUCUCAACAUCUCAACACCUGUUAAUUAAACUCUAAAGGGUUCAUUUUCAAGACCAUGUCACUUUGGCCCAUGUGUCUUUUGCAUCCCACCACAAGCCACCGACUAUUUGUUCACACACAUUUAUACUAUUUUAGUUGAAGAUUUCUUCUACUACACUAAUAUUGUGAUUGCUCUCUCUUUUUCAUAUUCCUUCCAUAUCUCAAUUGCCAACACAUUUUUCCUUGUACUUUUAGAUUCAGUAUAUAUAGCUUACUAGCUUAGCUAGAGAGAAACAUUAAGUCUUAGUUCCUAAGUUGACAACUUCACUACACACACAAACUGAUCAACUAUACACAGAAGUGAUCAAGAAGUAGACUACAGUAGUAGUAAUGGCAGAUUGGGGACCAGUGGUGAUAGUGGUUGUGUUGUUUGUACUGUUAAGUCCAGGGCUACUGUUUCAGCUGCUAGGGAAGAGCAGAGUGGUGGAGUUUGGCAAAAUGCAAACCAGCGGACUAUAGUUGUAUUAUAUGCUCUUAAGAACCUGUGCCUCUGUUUCUAGUGACAAAUAUGUCCAAUUUUGUUUCCACUACCACUUAUUUACUUCUUUCUUUUUAUUUAGAUGACUAUGGUAGUAGUCUAAUUUUGUAGGUAGAAUCCAUCUCCCAUGAUGAAGCUGCAAGGUUAUUACUUGGGGAUGCACACAAUGCAUCCGUAAUGAGAACAGGUAAAGUAAGGCGGAUUUAUGAUAUUGCAAAUGUUUCGUCCUCCAUGAAUCUUAUUGAAAAGACCCACACAGCAGAUACAAGGAAGCCUGCAUAUAAAUGGUUGGGAUUGAGAGGAAAAGAUGCUACGAGUUCAACUU